rnacentral:lncRNA from 1 species
UCUGGAUACAAUAGAGAAGGCCCAGUCGUGUGGAAAGUUGAUGAUGCCAGAGAGAGGAUGGUGGUGAUGGACAGCAUCCUUGGAUAGGGUUUCUCUGUGGCUUUGGAGGCUGUCCUGGAACCAGCUCUCAUAGACCAGGCUGGUCUCGAACUCACAGAGAACUCACCUGCCUCUGCCUCUCGAGUGCUGGGAUUAAAGGCGUGUGCCACCACCGCCCGUUUCUUAUGAAGAGAGAAGAACUGGAAGUCUGAGAACGUGGCACGGGCGUUGGCGUGGCUGUGGGCCUGAGAACAGGGGAAGAAACCAUGGACACCACGAAGAAACGGGCAAGGCAGAGGCUUGGACACUUCGGAGAGAUAGUCGUCUCGGGCGAACCGGUUGGAGAAGAAGCACGCGCAGGAGAAAGAAGAAAGAAGUGGCCGAAUGUGGAGUAGAACAAGGUGCACUGGCUACCGGAAAGAUUGAUGAGAUGCAUGGAACCGAGAAAAACGGGACCUGGGCCCACAGGAGACAAUCUGAAACAGCUGGAGUGAAACACUGGACCUGUGUUCCUGAACCUUGAGGACAUCUGACCUACAGCGGAGGAAGAAGGGAGACACACCCAGUUCCAGUUUUAAGAGGCUUUCCUGAGUUCCAGCUUCCCUACAGACGGGCUACAUUCACCUCUCUGAAUCCGUGAGUGCUCAUCCAGGAACAGACUAAGAACCUGAUCAAAAAACAGCUUGCUUUCUUGCCACAGACAGACACACAAAACUGUUUUGCCAGUUUUCCCAUUGGGAGAAAGGACCCAUUUAGGACAGUUGGAUACUGGCAUAACCCAAAGCGGCAGAAGAUCCUUCACAAUGUUUAAACAAGACAUGGACAAAAGACUUUUUAGUUAACUUUCAAAGACUGAUAUUACAAACCUGAUGUUAGAACUUCGGACUUUAAGCAGAAAAUAGAUAAGUUUUGAAGGGACCAGCUCCCCUUUCGGCAGCCAUAACAGCCGAACACGUGCUUGCCAUAAACUUGCCUUGUCACUUAGAGGUCAGAUGCCUGCCUUGUGACAAGGAACCAAUCGGAAGUUAGUCACUGCCUCGUGACAAGGAACCAAUCAGAAGUUAGUUGGUGGCGCUAUGCUUUACGACCCUGGGUGUGCUUUACAGAC